GAUGAACGCUGGCGGCGUGCCUAAUACAUGCAAGUCGAGCGAACAGACGAGGAGCUUGCUCCUCUGACGUUAGCGGCGGACGGGUGAGUAACACGUGGAUAACCUACCUAUAAGACUGGGAUAACUUCGGGAAACCGGAGCUAAUACCGGAUAAUAUAUUGAACCGCAUGGUUCAAUAGUGAAAGACGGUUUUGCUGUCACUUAUAGAUGGAUCCGCGCCGCAUUAGCUAGUUGGUAAGGUAACGGCUUACCGAGGCAACGAUGCGUAGCCGACCUGAGAGGGUGAUCGGCCACACUGGAACUGAGACACGGUCCAGACUCCCACGGGAGGCAGCAGUAGGGAAUCUUCCGCAAUGGGCGAAAGCCUGACGGAGCAACGCCGCGUGAGUGAUGAAGGUCUUCGGAUCGUAAAACUCUGUUAUUAGGGAAGAACAAAUGUGUAAGUAACUAUGCACGUCUUGACGGUACCUAAUCAGAAAGCCACGGCUAACUACGUG
rnacentral:rRNA from 1 species